rnacentral:rRNA from 1 species
AUUGAACGCUGGCGGCAGGCCUAACACAUGCGAGUCGAGCGGAUGAAGGGAGCUUGCUCCUGGAUUCAGCGGCGGACGGGUGAGUAAUGCCUAGGAAUCUGCCUGGUAGUGGGGGAUAACGUCCGGAAACGGGCGCUAAUACCGCAUACGUCCUGAGGGAGAAAGCGGGGGAUCUUCGGACCUCACGCUAUCAGAUGAGCCUAGGUCGGAUUAGCUAGUUGGUGGGGUAAAGGCCUACCAAGGCGACGAUCCGUAACUGGUCUGAGAGGAUGAGCAGUCACACUGUAACUGAGACGCGGUCCAGACUCCUACGGGAGGCAGCAGUGGGGAAUAUUGGACAAUGGGCGAAAGCCUGAUCCAGCCAUGCCGCGUGUGUGAAGAAGGUCUUCGGAUUGUAAAGCACUUUAAGUUGGGAGGAAGGGCAGUAAGUUAAUACCUUGCUGUUUUGACGUUACCAACAGAAUAAGCACCGGCUAACUUCGUG